UACGAAGGGGGGCUAGCGUUGCUCGGAAUUACUGGGCGUAAAGGGCGCGUAGGCGGCACUGUUAGUCAGGCGUGAAAUUCCUGGGCUCAACCUGGGGACUGCGCUUGAUACGGCAGAGCUUGAGGAUGGAAGAGGGUCGCGGAAUUCCCAGUGUAGAGGUGAAAUUCGUAGAUAUUGGGGAAGAACACCGGUGGCGAAGGCGGCGACCUGGUCCAUUACUGACGCUGAGGCGCGACAGCGUGGGGGAGCAAACAGG
rnacentral:rRNA from 1 species